GAAUGUGUUGGCAGUCUGGCUACAACAUCUGUAGGCCGAUUGAUUGCCAGGGUUGAUUGGUUGACUGGCUAGCUAGGCAAGUGUUCUCUUUCUCCCUUGCUGCCCCAUGCAUGUCCCUUCUGAAGCUGUGAGCUUGGUCCAAGAGGAAAACGUUCCCUGGUAAAGAAGCAGCCUUUGAUCAUGAAUAUAUGAAUAUUUGCCCUCUCUGGCUAGAACCUCCAAGCAAGCACUCAAGAAAAGAACUGUCUAGUAGUUAAGAGCUAGUACUGAUGUUC
rnacentral:snRNA from 1 species